rnacentral:lncRNA from 1 species
GCACUAGUGUUUGCAAACAGCCCUCUGGACACUUUUUGUGCAGGAACUGGAAGGGAAAACUGGUCAGCACGUGCUCCUGUGGCCCUGGAGGAUGUCACAGGUGUCUUGUGGAGCGGGGAGCUAAUAAGAGCCGAUCGGGAUUGGUGGUGGAUUUCCAAAGCACAGGUGUCUUGUGGAGCGGGGAGCUAAUAAGAGCCGAU